AUUUUUUCCUUUUUCCCCCCCCAUCUUACCCAACACUAUGUUGGUUGGAGCAAGUACGAGUCUAUGGGUGAGACUGAUUUUUUAUUUUUAUUUUGUUUUUUGGGGGGGCGGCUUUGUCUUAUUUGG
rnacentral:rRNA from 1 species